UACGUAGGGGGCAAGCGUUGUCCGGAAUCAUUGGGCGUAAAGAGCGCGUAGGCGGCCAGAUAAGUCCGGUGUGAAAGUCACAGGCUCAACCUGUGAAUGCCGCUGGAAACUGUCUGGCUAGAGUCCGGAAGGGGCGAGUGGAAUUCCUGGUGUAGCGGUGAAAUGCGCAGAUAUCAGGAGGAACACCAAUGGCGAAGGCAGCUCGCUGGGACGGUACUGACGCUGAGGCGCGAAAGCGUGGGGAGCAAACAGG
rnacentral:rRNA from 1 species